GAUUGGGUGCUUGCACCUAAUCUUAGCGGCGGACGGGUGAGUAAUGCUUAGGAAUCUGCCAUUUAGUGGGGGACAACAUUCCGAAAGGGAUGCUAAUACCGCAUACGUCCUACGGGAGAAAGCAGGGGAUCUUCGGACCUUGCGCUAAAUGAUGAGCCUAAGUCGGAUUAGCUAGUUGGUGGGGUAAAGGCCUACCAAGGCGACGAUCUGUAGCGGGUCUGAGAGGAUGAUCCGCCACACUGGGACUGAGACACGGCCCAGACUCCUACGGGAGGCAGCAGUGGGGAAUAUUGGACAAUGGGCGCAAGCCUGAUCCAGCCAUGCCGCGUGUGUGAAGAAGGCCUUUUGGUUGUAAAGCACUUUAAGCGAGGAGGAGGCUACCUGGAUUAAUACUCUAGGAUAGUGGACGUUACUCGCAGAAUAAGCACCGGCUAACUCUGUGCCAGCAGCCGCGGUAAUACAGAGGGUGCGAGCGUUAAUCGGAUUUACUGGGCGUAAAGCGUGCGUAGGCGGCUGAUUAAGUCGGAUGUGAAAUCCCUGAGCUUAACUUAGGAAUUGCAUUCGAUACUGGUCAGCUAGAGUAUGGGAGAGGAUGGUAGAAUUCCAGGUGUACGGUGAAAUGCGUAGAGAUCUGGAGGAAUACCGAUGGCGAAGGCAGCCAUCUGGGCCUAAUACUGACGCUGAGGUACGAAAGCAUGGGGAGCAAACAGGAUUAGAUACCCUGGUAGUCCAUGCCGUAAACGAUCUCCAUAGCCGUUGGGGCCUUUGAGGCUUUAGUGGCGCAGCUAACGCGAUAAUAGACCGCCUG
rnacentral:rRNA from 1 species